UACAGAGGGGGCGAGCGUUGUUCGGAAUUACUGGGCGUAAAGGGCGCGUAGGCGGCCUCUUAAGUCGAACGUGAAAUCCCCGGGCUCAACCCGGGAACUGCGUCCGAUACUGGGGGGCUUGAAUCCGGGAGAGGGAUGUGGAAUUCCAGGUGUAGCGGUGAAAUGCGUAGAUAUCUGGAGGAACACCGGUGGUGAAGGCGGCAUCCUGGACCGGUAUUGACGCUGAGGCGCGAAAGCCAGGGGAGCAAACGGG
rnacentral:rRNA from 1 species